rnacentral:rRNA from 1 species
CUACGGGACGCUGCAGUGAGGAAUAUUGCACAAUGGGGGAAACCCUGAUGCAGCAACGCCGCGUGGAGGAUGACGCAUUUCGGUGUGUAAACUCCUUUUAUAUGUCAAGAAAAUGACGGUAGCAUAUGAAUAAGCACCGGCUAACUCCGUGCCAGCAGCCGCGGUAAUACGGAGGGUGCAAGCGUUAUUCGGAAUCACUGGGCGUAAAGGACGCGUAGGCGGAUUAGAAAGUCAGGUGUGAAAGCCUACAGCUUAACUGUAGAACUGCACUUGAAACUCCUAGUCUAGAGUAUGGGAGGGGGAUAUGGAAUUAGUGGUGUAGGGGUAAAAUCCGUAGAUAUCACUAGGAAUACCGAAAGCGAAGGCGAUCUCCUGGAACAUUACUGACGCUAAGGCGUGAAAGCGUGGGGAGCAAACAGGAUUAGAUACCCGCGUAGUC